rnacentral:rRNA from 1 species
AUUGAACGCUGGUGGCAUGCCUAACACAUGCAAGUCGAACGGCAGCACAGUAAAGAUUUCGGUCUUUAUGGGUGGCGAGUGGCGGACGGGUGAGUAAUGCGUAGGAAUCUGUCCUGGAGAGUGGGAUAACCCGAGGAAACUCGGGCUAAUACUGCAUGAUAUCGAGAGAUCAAAGGCAGGGGACCCUUCGGGGCCUUGCGCUCUAGGAUGAGCCUACGUCGGAUUAGCUAGUUGGUGGGGUAAAGGCCUACCAAGGCGACGAUCCGUAGCUGGUCUGAGAGGAUGACCCGCCACACUGGGACUGAGACACGGCCCAGACUCCUACGGGAGGCAGCAGUGGGGAAUCUUGGACAAUGGGGGAAACCCUGAUCCAGCGAUGCCGCGUGUGUGAAGAAGGCCUUCGGGUUGUAAAGCACUUUAGUUGGGGAAGAAAAGUAAUGAGUGAAUAACUGAUUGCUCUGACGGUACCCAAAGAAUAAGCACCGGCUAACUCUGUGCCAGCCGCCGCGGUAA